UUCUGAUCUACUUUUACGUAAUGUGACUCUCAUCAGGUCAGAACUCAACAUUUCAAUUCAGACAAAACACAGCUCUUGGCAUGAAUCAAGGUGAGCUUCAGCGUUCGAGUUGACUUUUCAGAGGCCAUUUUAUGAAGAAGGAGGUAUCAUGGAUAUACAACUGGACCCUUGCAGGUUUUAUGCUUAAUCUUGACUUUGGUUGCCAAGAUGCUUUUAAAUAUCUUACUUUUGCAAAUCGACGAAACCUUAAGGCCACUGCGUCAGCUCUGUGAUAACUUCGCUUCAGCCCCUGAGGUAGGUUUUAUUACCGGCCCAUUUAACUGAUGAGGAAACCGAGACACAGAAGUUAACGUCCAUCUUUACCCAGCUAGUCAGUCAGUGGUACAAGAGCUGAAAGAGA